ACAGUAUUACUGAAGUCUUCACUAACAUCUACGUGACCAGUUUUGGCCCUGUCUCAGAUACAGAUAUGGAAUAUACAAUUGAUGUUUUCUUUCGACAAAAAUGGAAAGAUGAACGUUUAAAAUUUAAAGGUCCUAUGAAUAUCCUUCGACUAAACAAUUUAAUGGCUAGCAAAAUCUGGACUCCAGAUACCUUUUUUCACAAUGGGAAAAAAUCAGUAGCUCAUAAUAUGACAAUGCCAAAUAAGUUGCUUCGAAUUCAGGAUGAUGGGACUCUGCUGUAUACCAUGAGGCUUACAGUUCAAGCUGAAUGCCCAAUGCACUUGGAGGAUUUCCCAAUGGAUGCUCAUUCAUGUCCUCUGAAAUUUGGCAGCUAUGCAUAUACAACUUCAGAGGUCACUUAUAUUUGGACUUACAAUGCAUCUGAUUCAGUACAGGUUGCUCCUGAUGGCUCUAGGUUAAAUCAAUAUGACCUGCUGGGCCAAUCAAUCGGAAAGGAGACAAUUAAAUCCAGUACAGGUGAAUAUACUGUAAUGACAGCUCAUUUCCACCUGAAAAGAAAAAUUGGGUAUUUUGUGAUUCAAACCUAUCUGCCUUGCAUCAUGACUGUCAUUCUCUCCCAAGUUUCAUUCUGGCUUAACAGAGAAUCUGUGCCUGCAAGAACUGUGUUUG
rnacentral:circRNA from 1 species